AGGCACUUUCCAGAGUUUAGGUAC
rnacentral:siRNA from 1 species